rnacentral:rRNA from 1 species
AGCAGAGGAGAGUAGAAUUCCUAGGUAGCGGGGAAUGCGUAGAAAUUAGGAGGAUCCCAGUGCGAAGCGCUUUCUGUGCUGUACUGCCCUGAGGCGCGAAAGCGUGGGGAGCAAACAGGUUAGAUACCCUGGUAUUCCCGCCGUAACGAAUGAGUUCUAGGUUCGGGGGUUUCCCCCCUCUGUGUCGCAAAUAACGCCACUUAGUACUGCCCCUGGGGAGUAUCCUCCCCAAAAGUGAAACUCAAAGGGAUUUCGGGGGGGCCCCCCCAAUAGCGGAGCAUUUGGGUUUUUUUUAAACCACGCCAAAAACCUUUCCUCAGCUUGACAUCCCCCUGGCCUCUUCUUAAUCGAAGAUUUUCCCUUCGGGGACAGUGGUGACAGGUGGUGCAUGGUUGUCGUCAAUUCGUGUCGUAAGAUGUUGGGUUAAGUUCCCCAACGAGCGCCACCCUUGCCUUUUAGUUUCCACCAUUUAGUUGGGCCCUCUAGAGGGACUUCCGAGGAUAACUCGGAGGAAGGUGGGGAUGACGUCAAAUCAUCAUUCCCCUUAUGCUUAGGGCUUCACACGUGCUUCAAUGGGUGGUUCAAAGGGUUGCCAAACCCCGAGGUGGAACUAAUCCCUUAAAACCAUUUUCAGUUCGGAUUGUAGGCUGAAACUCGCCUUCAUGAAGCUGGAGUUUUAGUAAUUGCAGAUCAGAAUCUCCGGUGAAUUCGUUUCCGGGUCUGUCACCCCCCCCACGCCAGGAAGUUGUGGUCCCCGAAACGGUUAGGUACCUUUAUGAAGCAGCCCCCCRAU